rnacentral:rRNA from 1 species
CCUACGGGAGGCAGCAGUGGGGAAUAUUGCGCAAUGGGCGAAAGCCUGACGCAGCGACGCCGCGUGAGGGAUGAAGGUCUUCGGAUCGUAAACCUCUGUCAGCAGGGAAGAACGGUCACUGUGCUAAUCAGCAGUGAAUUGACGGUACCUGCAAAGGAAGCACCGGCUAACUCCGUGCCAGCAGCCGCGGUAAUACGGGGGGUGCGAGCGUUAAUCGGAAUUACUGGGCGUAAAGCGCUCGUAGGCGGUAUGUCAGGUCAGGGGGGAAAUCCCCGCGCUCAACGUGGGAACUGCUUUGAAACUGGCAGACUGGAGUGUGUGAGAGGAUAGUGGAAUUCCAGGUGUAGGAGUGAAAUCCGUAGAUAUCUGGAGGAACAUCAGUGGCGAAGGCGACUAUCUGGCACAUAACUGACGCUGAGGAGCGAAAGCGUGGGUAGCAAACAGGAUUAGAUACCCUUGUAGUC